rnacentral:rRNA from 1 species
UACGAAGGGGGCUAGCGUUGCUCGGAAUUACUGGGCGUAAAGGGCGCGUAGGCGGUGUGUCAAGUCAGGCGUGAAAGCCCCGGGCUCAACCUGGGAACCGCGCUUGAGACUGGCACGCUCGAGUCCGGGAGAGGAUGGUGGAAUUCCCAGUGUAGAGGUGAAAUUCGUAGAUAUUGGGAAGAACACCGAUGGACGAAGGCAGCCAUCUGGACCGGCACUGACGCUGAGGCGCGAAAGCGUGGGGAGCAAA